AGGAUUUCUGUCUCCUUUGGAAAUCUCAGCGGAUGGGGGAAUCCAAGACGAGGGGACACAUUUUUAAGAGACUUGCCUCAUUUCAACGAACUAAGUACCUGAUCAAAGAAACUGGCAUUGGAAAGUUGUGGGUGAGACCACUGAGAAUCACUUUGCUGCAACCACUUUCUUGUGACCUCUUCAUAAGUUCCCUUAUGCC